UACGUAGGAGGCAAGCGUUGUCCGGAAUUACUGGGCGGAAAGCGCGUGUAGGUGGUGGGCCACGUCUGCUGUGAAAGCGCCUGGCUUAACCGGGCGAGGUCGGCGGAAACUGUCCGACUCGAGGACGGUAGAGGGGGGUGGAAUUCCCGGUGUAGUGGUGGAAUGCGUAGAGAUCGGGAGGAACACCGGUGGCGAAGGCGGCUCACUGGGCCGGACCUGACGCUGAGGCGCGAAAGCGUGGGGAGCGAUCCGG
rnacentral:rRNA from 1 species